rnacentral:rRNA from 1 species
CACGUAGGGCGCAAGCGUUGUCCGGAAUUAUUGGGCGUAAAGAGCUCGUAGGUGGUUUGUUACGUCUGCUGUGAAAACCUAGGGCUUAACCCUGGGCUUGCAGUGGAUACGGGCAGACUAGAGGUAGGUAGGGGAGAAUGGAAUUCCUGGUGUAGCGGUGAAAUGCGCAGAUAUCAGGAGGAACACCGGUGGCGAAGGCAGCCUCCUGGGCUAGUACUGACGCUCAUGCACGAAAGCGUGGGGAGCAAACAGG